rnacentral:rRNA from 1 species
CCUACGGGUGGCAGCAGUGAGGAAUAUUGGUCAAUGGACGAGAGUCUGAACCAGCCAAGUAGCGUGAAGGAUGACUGCCCUCUGGGUUGUAAACUUCUUUUAUAUGGGAAUAAAACAGGGUAUGCAUACCCUCUUGUAUUUAUCUUAUCAAUAAGGAUCGGCUAACUUCGCGCCAGCACCCCCGGUAAUAUGGAGGAUCCGAGCGUUAUCCGGAUUUAUUGGGUUUAAAGGGAGCGGAGGUGGGUUGUUAAGUCAGGUGUGAAAGUUUGCGGCUCAACCGUGAAAUUGCAGUUGAAACUGGCAGUCUUGAGUGCAGUAGAGGUGGGCGGAAUUCGUGGUGUAGCGGUGAAAUGCUUAGAUAUCACGAAGAACUCCGGUUGCGAAGGCAGCUCACUGGACUGUAACUGACACUGAUGCUCGAAAGUGUGGGUAUCAAACAGGAUUAGAUACCCGGGUAGUC